AAUCAAUGAUAGAAAAAUUACAUAUAGUAUAUUUAUGUUUUAUGCCUAAACUUUGUAUCAUAUAUGAAUAUUUUUAGUUUGUACCCACUUUUAAUUUGCAACAUUUUUUUUUUAAUUUGUAGUAUUUUUUUUUUAGUUUUAUUUUGUACCCAUGUAUUAAUUUCUUUUAGCGCCUAUAUUUUUAAAAAUUCAUUUGUAUUCAUAAUUUUUAAUUUUUUAUCUGUACCCUAAUUUAUUUCUAAUGUACAAAUUCUUCUUUAUCAAUGCACCAUUUUGUUAUAUGUGAAAUGUACCAAUUUUUUUAACACUAUGGAUACAUUCUUUUGCCAUUUAUUAUUUAUUAUUUUUAUAUAGUUUCUAUCCAUUUAUUGAAUCAAAAUGUUUGAAUUUUUUUAUUGUAACCGUUUCUAAUAGUAUUAUAAUGAGGGAUUUUAAAUUU
rnacentral:lncRNA from 1 species